rnacentral:rRNA from 1 species
AUUGAACGCUGGCGGCAUGCCUUACACAUGCAAGUCGAACGGCAGCACGGGCUUCGGUCUGGUGGCGAGUGGCGAACGGGUGAGUAAUGUAUCGGAACGUACCCUUCAGUGGGGGAUAACUAUCCGAAAGGAUAGCUAAUACCGCAUAUUCUCUGAGGAGGAAAGCGGGGGAUCGCAAGACCUCGCGCUGAUGGAGCGGCCGAUAUCGGAUUAGCUAGUUGGUGGGGUAAAGGCCUACCAAGGCGACGAUCUGUAGCGGGUCUGAGAGGAUGAUCCGCCACACUGGGACUGAGACACGGCCCAGACUCCUACGGGAGGCAGCAGUGGGGAAUUUUGGACAAUGGGGGCAACCCUGAUCCAGCCAUGCCGCGUGAGUGAAGAAGGCCUUCGGGUUGUAAAGCUCUUUCGGCCGGGAAGAAAUCGCGUGAGUUAAUACCUUGCGUGGAUGACGGUACCGGAAUAAGAAGCACCGGCUAACUACGUGCCAGCCGCCGCCGUAACAC